AGCAGUUUAUUCUAAACAGUGGAAGCACAAAAAUGUUCAGACUCUUUGGUCUUCUCAUUUUCAUUAACACUGCACUGACUACAGAUGUUGUUCAGCCCAGUCACCUGAUGAGGGUUCAGCUUGGAGACAGUGUGACCCUGACAUGCUUCUGUCAAGGAGAAACAACUUUUGUUACUUUGUUUAAGCAAGCUGUUGGUCGGAAGCCCCAGCCCAUGGCGAAAGCACUUCUCUACGUACCUGGUGAAUUUUACAAGGAAUAUAAAAGCAUAAAACGUUACUCCUUACUGAAUGCAGAGGGGAGUUUUAACCUCACUAUUUCUAACGUGGAGCCGUCAGAUUCUGCAGUGUAUUAUUGUGCUGCUGUGUUUCUUCAUGAGGUCACCUUCGGGAAUGGAACCUUUGUCAUAAUCACAGGUAAAGACUCCAACAGCAGGACUGUGGUACAGCAGCCUGUGUCUGACACAUUGCAGCCAGGAGACUCUGUGAGCCUGCAGUGUACGAUAGAGACUGGGAGCUGUGCAGGAGAACACAGUGUUUACUGGUUCAGACAUGGAUCAGGAGAAUCCCUUCCUGGAGUCAU